GAACCCAUUCAAAUACAAAAUAAAUCAGAUUUUGAAAUUGACAGAAAAAAGAAUGAAAGUCAAAGAAAGCAAAUGGAUUCCAAAUACAAGAAAAAAUCGAAUUUAAGAGUCAAGGGAACAACAAUUAGAGAUUUCAAAUCAAGUACAACAGUGGUAUGCUUCAAAAAAAGGGGGAUCCCAAAACAAUCCGCGGUGGAUCUGCUUCUUAUUCUUCCUACAAAGACGGAUAUCCGGGCUCAGUACACGAUGGCUCCGCAUCAGCAGCUGUAGUUAGGCCCUAUUGAUCCGUCCGUCCGUAUAUGUCCGCGGUUAGUAUAUAGACACCACCAUCGGCCUGGGUUAAUCGGGCAAUAACCCUAUUAUGAAUUGUACCUAAGCUAUCUAGCUUGAGCUCAUGUCUCCUUGGGCACCCUUUCUAUGUUACGCUAAAAGUUGCUACAAAUAUACACCACUGCAAUAAAAAAGGAAGUCUGUCGGUCAUUCGUCGGUCCAAGGUUACAAGUAGAUUAUCUGUCCACAUAGGGAUUUUUUACAUGGGCAUGUCGGUAUGAUCAUGCCGGUUUUCUGCGCCGUGGGGGAUGACCGAUCGCGUGCUUACGGGUUUUUUUAAUUUUGCUUGUAUUUUGUAGGUUUAAUUAGCUUUUAAGUAUCUAGCCUGUAAGACUUUAGUAACUUAUUUCUUUUCUUUUAAAUAGUUUGUAACUAUUAAAUAUUUACUUUAGCUUGUAAGACUUUAGUUAAUCCUUAUUUUUAAUUAGUUUAUAGUUUGCGCUCACAAUAGAAAUGAAAUGCCAGUUUUUCUAAUUUGCAGAUUUUUUGCUUGUACGACUGCCACAUCCACAAGUGUUUUUUUAUUUCUUCGACGCUUAGGUCGCACUUUAUUUAGGGGCUAAUGCCCUUUCACCAAUUUGAGAUUUAAGGCACAUCGAAAUUCGAUAAAAUAAAAUAAUAUAUUUCGACUAUAAAGUCUCUUGUUUCUUUUUUUUUUGUUUAUACGGUUGAUUUCAGGUGGGUUGUGUCGACUGGCCACUUCGCCACAAAAAACUACUCUCGAACCACAAUGUUUGGUAUGGUUUCUACGCAACUUUGACGUCCAGUCAGCUCCAAUAUCCAAACCAAAAAGAUCGGAAAAAGCCCAGGAAACCGGCCAUCUUCCCAAAAUUUCCUGCCAUGGCCUUUCCUUUCUCUUUUUCCUCCAUUUCUCCCUAUUUGUUCCAAGCGAUCUGACGUGCCUAGAAUUAAAAAUUGCUGUUUCAGCCGAGUAGCCAACUAUACAAACAUGUCAUUCACAGUAGCAUCAAUAUGGGCCCCCUACUCACUCCAUGUCAUCGCGCACACAACAAAUCUAAGAUCUUUCGUCUGCUGCUCAUCAUUAUCUGCUCCUUAAAAAUAUGUUCAAAAACCUUAGAUAGGGCUGGAAGAACUGAGAUCGGCCUAAAGUCCUCCAGACUGCGAAUAACAGUUGAUUUAGAUUGUUGUUGUUGUAGCAGUUUGUUGUGUUCUAUCUUUCGUCUGCUUAAUUCUGUUUAGUGUCAAGAUCGAUUCUGGGUCUGGCUAGGUAGUUAAACAGGUGAUGUGUAUCGUGUGGUCCCUGGUCACAAUCGGGACA
rnacentral:sRNA from 1 species